GACGAACGCUGGCGGCGUGCCUAAUACAUGCAAGUCGAACGCAGUGGGGACGGGUGAGUUACCCGUGGGUAACCUCCCCUUAGAGGGGAUAACACUUGGAAACAGGUGCUAAACCGAUACUGAUGGAUGUACCCGGGGUGCAUUAGCUAGUCGGUGAGGUAACGGCGUACCAAGGCGACGAUGCAUAGCCGACCUGAGAGGGUGAUCGGCCACACUGGGACUGAGACACGGCCCAGACUCCUACGGGAGGCAGCAGUAGGGAAUCUUCGGCAAUGGACGAAAGUCUGACCCAGCAACGCCGCGUGAGUGAAGAAGGUUUUCGGAUCGUAAAGCUCUGUUGUUAGGGAAGCGGUACCUAAACAGAAAGCAACGGCUAACUACGUGCCAGCAGCCGCGGUAAUAC
rnacentral:rRNA from 1 species